UUUUUUUUUUUUUUUGUCUUUUUGCCUUUUCUUGGGCCACUCCCUCAGCAUAUAGAGGUUUCCAGGCCAGGGGUCGAAUCAGAGGUGUAUCCGCCGGCCUAUGCCACAGCCACAGCAACGUAGAAUCCAAGCCGCAUCUGCGACCUACACCACAGCUCACAGCAACGCUGGAUCCUUAACCCACUGAGCAAGGCCAGGGAUUGAACCUGCAACCUCAUGGUUCCUAGUUGGAUUAGUUAACCACUGAGCCACGACGGGAACUCCAAAAUGUGACUGAUUUUUGAAUGUUAAUCUUAUAUCCUGCUACUUUGCUGAAUUUAUUAAUCAAUUCAAGUAGUUUUUGGGUUGAGUCCUUAGGGUUUUCUAUAUAAACUGAUUCAAGCUUCUCCCAUGCCAGCCUACAAUAGGUACAGAGGUCAGAAGGACUGCCUUCCUACACAUGCACACAAACACACAUACACAAAAACAUAACACCACCUCCAAGUCCAAAGAAACAAUGAAUAAGCACAAAAUGAAUUUGUUUGGAAAAAUCCUAAUUUCUUUUGCAAAUUGAUCAAGACUUUUCUCCUAUCAAAAAAAGUUAAAAUUAUUUAAUAACAAGAUAAAGAUCAAUAGGAGGUCCAGCCUGGAACAUCAGUCACCAUUGUGCCACCACUGCGCAGCAUGAGACUGGGCAAACGUUUAACUACUUGGAGCAACGGUUUACUCUCGUGCUUUCGAAAAUCCCUUCCAAGGCCGAAAGAGUAAAACUCUUGCUCUUGAUAAUAUACCAUAUAAUGCAUCCAGGACAGACCCCUAGCGUUACUACCAGUUGGAUAAUUAUGCAGCAAUAAUGCACGGUUCUAGUGCUUUGUAGAGAGAUGCUUGUAGGGCACAAAGACUUUCUGCCUUGAAAGGGAAACUAUUCAAAUGUUGGUGCCUAACAGCUAAAGAAACAGGAUUCCAUGGUAACAGAGAUGCUCCCAGGUCAAGUACAUGUUCUGAGAAAGCAAGGGACAUGCAAAUGAACACAAACUAAUGGACCAGGGCUUACUCCGGCGGGGUUUUCUUUAAUCAGGUCUUUGUGCCCUAAAGUGACAAUACUGCAGCAGUGCCAAGGACAACACAAACACUUGGAGAGUUCAGGCAGGGGCUUCCUGGUAAGACAUUUUCCUGCCUCAUUCUCCCCAUCCAAAAAAAAAAAAAAUAGUGGAUGUUCAUUUUAUUCAUUAUAUUCAUUGGCAGAAAAUAAUAACUCCCACCCCAUUCUGCAUGGCUGAAAGCCCAGAUUUCAAUUUUUAACAUUUGCUCAUAUGCUAUGGUUUAAGUCAAGCCUUAAACUGUUCCCACUGCUCAAAAAUGGUGGGUGGGCAAGUACCAGGCCAGGUGGUCUCCCUUAGGUCCAGGAUCCAGGUGAGGUGUAAGGUGAUGGUGAUCUCCUCACCUGCGGACCAUCUAUGGCGCAGAGGGCAAGCAAUUCUGGUGAAGAGUUCAGGAGAACUGGGACCACCACAAAGAUAUCUGAACUUGUUUUAAAUAUUAAACAGGUUUCAGAAACAAAAAUGUUUAGAGCAGUUUGGAGGCCAAGAAAGAUGUUUCCCUAUUACAUUUAGAAUGGAUAAACAAUGGGGUCCUACUGUACAGCACAGGGAACUAUGUCCAGUCUCUUGGGAUGGGCCACGAUGGAAGACAGUAUGAGAAAAAGAAUGUAUAUAUGUAUAUGACUGGGUCACUAUGCUAUACAGCAGAAAUUGGCACAACACUGUAAAUUAACUAUACUCUAAUAAAAAAAAAAAGAAGAAGAAGAAGAAGGAAGUGUGCAAGAAGCCCUAAGUCUACUUCUGGCCACUCACCAGCUUGGGCAAAAGAUUUUUUUGAAAUCUCAGAGUCUCAUGUGUGACAUGAAAAGACUGGCACAGCCUGAACAUUCCCCUGGCUCCUUUCAGGCAUCAACAGCACCCUCCAGAAUUCCAUUUCUUUGGUCUAUUUUUAUUUGGCAAAAUCAAAAUUGCCAUGGGCUCUUUGUCACCAAUCACACCAUCUCUGCUAUCAGAGCCCGUUAACCACGACAGAGGAGCCAUUUGUUACAUGAUUUUUAUUGCAGGCACUAAGUACCUCCCAACAGCUUAGCAAUGGAAAUGAAUUUUCCAAGCCUUCUUCAAGGGAAAAUAAAAAUAUUAAAGUUGCUUAUGAAAAGUCCUGCCAAGCUUAUAGGCUUACAUCUUUAGGGGACACUUUUUUAUUGAAAAGCACCCUUGAGAGGUGAAAAAGAAAAGUGUAAUCUGGGAGAAUGUCCCUAUUUCAACAAAUUUAGCCAAUGAUUCCUAGCAGAAGAGAUCUUCAGAAGCAUACCCUCUUAGACCUUUGCACAAAAGCUCCGUCUGGGCACAGGUUGCUGCUAAAAUCUCCAGAGAUAUGUUACCUGCAGCACUGCGACCAUUCACAGACCUGCUUCUAGAAGCACCCUCCUCUACCCCCUUAGCUACCCAGCUUCUGUCUUCUGUGUCCUAUUUGUAAUGAACACGUCUCUGGUUUUCAAAACUUUCUCCCACUGGCACCACAUGGUCAGAAAUGAAGGGUGUUAACAGAGUGGUUAGAGGGCAUCCAGAAAACCUUUCCUAGAAAGAGUCUUUUAGGCUUUGCAGUUCUAGUGUCAAAAUCAAGGUUACUAUGUAGAUACUUAUGAAAGAAAAGAGAAAAUACAUUUCCACAUGUUCGAGUCAUGAAAUCCAAAAUACAAUAAUAAGAACUGAGUACAAUCACUUGUAGAAUACAAGUCUACUAAUGAGAUGCUGUAAUUAUUUGGGGGGGUGGAACUAAUAUUUUCCUUAAUUUGAGUUAAAAGGUAGUGUUUCCUAGCAUCAAUUCAAUUGCAAUGUUCAUCCAUAAAAGCCCUCCUCAGCUUCAGGGACUUACAGGGCAGCAGGCAGGAUUUGGCCCUUAUGCUGUAGUUUAUUGAUUCAGGGCUGUUUAGGGCAUAAGCCUGAGAUUCUGGCUAAGCUUGGGUGGAAUACUGGUUCUACAACUAACUUUCCAGCUUCUGACUUCACUGUUCCAAUGCAAAAUUGUCUCCUCUUUAGUACUAGAGGCCAAGAAGAUAACUGUCAGGCAUUCUGUGAACUAACAGCUAACAUUUGUCAAACUUCUACAACCCAGAAAUUACUCUAUGCUCUAUGUCCCUUACAUAUUAACUUAGUGUUCAAAACAUUCCUACCAGGUAUUAUAAUUCUUACACCCAUUUUACAGGUGAGGAAACUGAGGAACAGAGAGGUUAAACAAAAUGCGUGUGGUUAUCCAUCUAGGUACAUGAACAUCAGAAGGCAGAGAACACCCUUCAGCUCCAGGGCUGUGAGCUGUGUUUGAUGAAUGUUAGCUAUUAUCUCUUUUAUUCUUGUUAAUGAGGUUAUGUCAAUGAAGUAAUUAGGAUGACAGUUUCAAUGUACAUUCCAGAACACAGACAUUAAAAUGAGUUUGUCCUUCAAAAGAUUGCAACUUUGGAGGUUUUGUGUUCCAAAUAAAGCCUGGCUGUUCAAAAUGCUCUUGGUUUUCCCUUCCACAGCCAUAGUUUAUUAACUUCAAGGGGCAUUCACUCUCCUUUGUCCCUUGUCCCUAAUUCCCCUUUCUAUAUUAUAAGAAUAUAAAAUUAAUUAAUUCUAUUAAUUAAUAAAUUACAGGUCUCUCUAUAAGAUGGUCUACUGUUGACUUAGGAAAAGAAGCACUCCCAGGAUCCUUUCCUAAAUAGAAUAGAAUAGAAUAGAAUAGAAUAGAAUAGAAUAGAAUAGAAUAGAAUAGAAUAGAAUAGAAUAGAAAGCCAGUAGAAUAGAAUAGAAUAGAAUAGAAUAGAAUAGAAUAGAAUAGAAUAGAAUAGAAUAGAAUAGAAUAGAAAAGAAAAGAAAAGAAAAGAAAAGAAAAGAAAGCCGGCCAGGAUAUUUCCCAGUUUGUCAUGUCUGUCACCCUGGUCCCUUUCCUAGGAUCCCCCCCACACCCAUCCUCCUUCAGACCUGAGCGCCUUGGCCAGGGAACCAGUCUGCUCUGCCUGACAGCACACCCCCUUCACUGCUGCCCCCCAGUCCCUCACUCAGCACCUCAGGGGUCCCUCCAUCUCAGCCUCUACAUAAAGCUGCCAGACAUUCCUCCCAAAACAUCAGGAUUAGUCCCCUGCCAGCCUCCUUAGGAACUAAACUGAAGGGGAACAUUUUCUAACAGUUUAUCAGUUUUCUUCAUUUUCCUUACACACUCCUCCCCAGAGUGAAACAUGACAGGCAGAACAGAAGGCACAAGGUAGCAGAUGCAGAUUCCUGUACUCAUAAACCAAGAGCCCUCGAGGUCCUUGCCAAGGACCUUCUUCCCAGGUACCCUCUGGGAUUUUAAGUAAAAAAAUGAAGUCUCCGCAUCCAUGUCUCUGACCCAAAUGUCUACAGAAAAAUCAAAUCUAGAGACCAUGUCCAUUGGCUCUGUCCACCUGGACUACACACUCUGCUAACAAGCUCAAUGUGCCAACCACAGUGGGCUCAAAAGCUUCUUUCUUCUGCUUUUCAGCUCAAUUUGUGAUCACAUCCUCACACACAGGCCUCUGUCCACCUGCCUCCGCCUUCCCUGCUCCUUUACCCCCUUCAAUUUGCAAAGCACCCUCCUCUCUAUCUACGUAUCCAUCCAAUAGAAAGAUGGUGUGAGCCAAGCUGCCAGCCACAUGCGUAAUUUUAAAUAUUUUGGAAACUGUAUCUUAAAAAAUGAGAAAGAGAGUUCCCACCAUUGGAUCAGUGGAAACGAACUGGACUAGUAUCCAUGAGGACACUGGUUCCAUCCCUGGCCUCGCUCAGUGGGUUGUUGCCAUGAACUUUGGUGUAGGUCACAGACCCAGCUCAGAUCUGGCAUUGCUGUGGCUGUGGCGUAGGCCAGCAGCUAUAGCUCUGAUUGGACUCCCUGCCUGGGAACCUCCAUAUGCCGUGGGUGUGGGUGUGGGUGUGAGAAAAGGUGAGAAAAGGUAAAACUCAUUUUUAUUUCAUAUUUGAUUUAAUCCAGUAUAGCCAUUAUGCUAUGAUUCAAUAGGUGAUCAGUAUCAAAUAGUGAGGGGAUCAUUUACAUUUGUUUUCAGGCUAAGUUUUCAAAAUCCAGAAUGUAUUUUCCACUUCUAGUAGGACUUGAUUCAAAUUAGCCAUAUUUCCAGGACUCAGAGCCACACGUGACCAGUGGCACCAUCAUGGGCAGCGCAGAUUUAAAUUCUACCAACAUCUGAGGAUCAGCAGAACUCCCUCCACAUGCAAGACUCCUCUAGUUCCUGCAGCCCUGUGUAUCUUCUUCUUUGAGUGCCAUUAUAAUGAUAACUGAUACAUGCUAGUGGACACUUUUUCCCACAUAUUUUAUGACUCUAAAUUCUGUCUUCACAAUCAUGCUCCAAACACAUUAAACAUCUGUUUUUUCCAUGGAGGAUCUAUCAUGAGGCCAAACAUAACCCUUCAAUAAAUAUGUAUUAAUUUGUUGACAAGGAAUCCAUAAACUGUGUGUCAGUAGUAAAUCAAGGGGGAAAUUGAGGGUAGAAGCAAUGAAAAUUGAAAGAAACAAAAACAGAGUGAUCUUCAGUUGAAGAAAAUGAUAGUCAUAUGAAACUAUAUUGUUACCCUUGCAUAAGAGCAAUUAUUCAAUUAAAUAAAUAUUGAAAAUAUGGGUUAAAUAUUUGUUUACUUGUAAGUUUCAGAUGCUGCCAUAUUAAUACUAUGCCUGCACUCCUCACGGAAAAUGAGGAUAAAACACUGGAGAAAAACUGGAGAUAAUAGUAAAUAAAGAAGACACAUUGGGUAGAAGCAUUUAUCACAAUGUUUUGGACGGGGCUCCCUGAUAAGCUAGUAGAGCCAACAGUAGGGACUACCUGUCUUAUUCAUGUUGAAUCCCUAGCCAAGGGCAGUCAGUGCCAUUACGCCAUUGCUCCUAAUUUCCCUUUCCAAAUAUAUCUGCUACUAAAAUAUUAGACCGCUUCAUAAGGUAGUUUAGUGUUGGGAUAAGAAGAGGUGGUGAAGUGUCUGGCACAGUGCCAGUACUCAACAAGGGUUUAGUGACUGAACUAGCAAUUGCCAGUAAUGGAUAAGAUUGGUACUUGAGCCAUGAUGAUGAUAAUAAGGAUAAACAUGUGUGAUAGCUAACAUGGAAUCAGCAGGACAUGGAACCAGAGAGGCAUAGGAGAAAUAAAUUUAAGUCCUCCUACUUGUUCUCAGGAUAUCCCCAUGUAUCAGAAACAGUAAGGUGGAAAGACAUCACCUCUGUCGAGAAAAGACAUGCAGAACAUGGGAGCUGUGUCUCCAGGAAGGCCUCUGCCUUUCCUCCUCAGGAUGCAGAAAAUCUCACUAAUCCUUCAUAGUAAAGUGUUGGUUGAUACUCACCUUGGCACAUUCAAGGACAGAUAUAAUGACUCCCUAGAUCAAAAACUGAACAAAAAAGAAAUAAGAUGGGCUAAAAUGAAUGAGGUCAGAUGAAGGUGAAGUUCACACAGUUCAUGGAGGAAGGCAAACUCUGCUGAAUAGUUGACAGGACAAUGCUGUGCUCUUAAGUGAUAAAGAGGCACAAUGAAUGUUUCAAGGUUAGAAGCCACCACCAAUGGGCUGUUUAAUUUCCCUACUCAGCAAAUUCUAUCUCUACAUCGUACUCUCAAAUUAAUCACGAGUGUAAGCCUAGGCCCC
rnacentral:lncRNA from 1 species